CGGGCGGUGGUGUAGGGCCUACCAAGGCGACGAUCAGUAGCUGGUCUGAGAGGAUGAUCAGCCACACUGGAACUGAGACACGGUCCAGACUCCUACGGGAGGCAGCAGUGGGGAAUUUUCCGCAAUGGGCGAAAGCCUGACGGAGCAAUACCGCGUGAGGGAGGAAGGCUCUUGGGUUGUAAACCUCUUUUCUCAGGGAAUAAGCAAGUGAAGGUACCUGAGGAAUCAGCAUCGGCUAACUCCGUGCCAGCAGCCGCGGUAAUACGA
rnacentral:rRNA from 1 species